ACCAUGCUGGGAAGAGAGAACACUGGGUCAGAUGCGGAGCACUGAGGAUAAUUGAUUAGUGUAUAAACACCAUCUAUAGCUCCUGUUGUGCAACCAAGACUUAACUAACUUUGUGGGGAGGAUGGACAGUGUGCUCCAGGAUUGCACACCUCAGCAGCACCCCUUUGUGGAGAGGAUUUGGUAGAAUCUGCAUUUGAAUUGAGUGUUUAGGGUUUGUGUGCUUUCGCCCUGAGGCUGUGCCCCAACGACUGGGACAUCCACCACCCCAGGAACUCGUCCUUGUUCCUGAAAACCCCUGACACUGCUCCCCGGCAGGCGCCUGGAUGCCCUUUCCAUCCUGGCCCACAGUGUCUUCUUUCCGUCUUACCCAUACUCUCACUUUUUUUCUACCUGCUACGCGGAGCCCUGGCAGACUCCAGGUGUCUGGUCCUUCGUCUUUCCCUACCUGUCAACCCUGUGGACCUCCCUUUCUUCCUGACACGAGGUGCAUCCUGUGUUGAUUAUCUCUUGCUCUCUCACCAGCCCCCACUCCUCUUUCCUCUGCCUCUCUAGCAACCUCCACCCUUAAAUCCUCUGUUCAGCCCCUGUCCGCCACCGCGCCGCUCUCUGCAGAUGACCUGGCCUCUGACUUUAUGUAGAAAAUUAAGUUCACUGGUGAGAUAUUGCUUAAUUCCUGACAGUUCACAUCCACAUCCUCCAGUUUCGGAGGGCGCCAUGUGCUAUUUAUGUCCAAGGCCAAACUGCCCUGCAGCCAACUCCUUUUGCCUUUUCUUGGACUUGAUUCAUCCUUUUUUUCUCUCUCUCUCUUGCCUGGAUUUUUGAUUUCUUACUGUCCUCUUCCUCUCUAUCAACAAAACAUACUCAAACUUCUCCCACUCUAAAAUAAGCCUACUCUGACCCUUCAUUCCUGCCUAGCUACUGUCCGCCCUUUCCUCCUUAAACUUCGAAAAGGUCAGUUUAGACUCCCAGAGCCCCCCUUUCUCACCUCCCAGUCCCCUUCUCCCUAUGCCGGAAGCCAAGGUUCCCAGGAACCUCCUUGUGGUUACAGGAGACUUUCUGUAGCUGCCUGGAACUAGAAGUUUCUGUAGGCCCAUAGAGGCAGUGUCUGCUGGCUAUGCCCCCUAGGUGUCCCACAGGCACUGCAAACUUCUGGCUACUUACUCGUAAGCCUGUCUUUCUUGUUCCCAGCCUCUUUUGGUGGCAUCACCAGCCACUCCGCCUCCCAAUCCGGAAACCUGUGAGUUAUCCUUAGGGACUGUCCUUUCCUGAUCCCACAUUCCCUUUUAAUUACCAAGUCUAGUUGGUUAUCCCCCUUAAAUAUUUCUCGAGUCCAGUGGUUCUCAAAUUUCACUUGCGUCAGAAUCACCUGGAGGGCUUGUGAAACAUCGUUUACCGGGGGCCACCGCCAGAGUGUCCGACUCAGGAAGUCUGCAUUUCUGAUGUGCUCCCACGUGGUGCUGAUGCUGUGGAUCCAGGGACCAGGCUUUUUUUUUAGUAAAUAACUUCACUGAGGUAAAAUUUACCCAUUUUAAGUGUACAAUUCAAUAAUUUUUCAUAAUUUGUCAAGUGUGCAACCAUCACCAUUUUAAAUCCAGUUUUAGAACACUGCCAUCAACCCAAUAAGAUCCUUCAUGCCAUUUACGGUUAUCCCAUUUCUAACCCCAAUCCCAGGAAAUCACUAACCUAUUUUGUGCCUUAAUAGACUUAGCAUUUCUGGACAUUUCAUCUAGAUGGAAUCGUACAAUAUGAGUCUUCUGUAUCUGACUUCUUUCACUGGGCAUAAUGUUCAUGAGGUUUAUGCGUGUUAUAGCAAGUGUCAGUAUAUUGUUUCUUUUAUUGCCAAUUAGUGUUCUAUUGUGUGGAUGUGGGGACCACCCUGUGAGAAUCACCGCUCCGGUUCAGCUGUCCGCUGCCCUCGCUCGGGCCCUCACCAUCUCUCUCCUGCACAGCUGGUUUUCCGACCUCUUGCUUGGAUUGUCCUGCCUCGGCACACAACUUUGACAUGUCCAGCAGCAGUGCUUCCAGAUGCACAUCUGAUUGUGUCACUUGCCUGGUUAAACAUUCUUCAACGUGUGUCUGAUGCCAUCACUGUCCUGUAACACGAAGCUCCCACUUCUCACCCUGCGACCCUCACUGGAGAGCCUCUCCAGCUUCCCCUCUCCUCACUCCCUGCCUUGAACUUUGUGCUUCAGGAGCGCUGAGCUGUUUGUAAACCCUCUCCCUCCCCAAACGUCGUGCUGCUUUCCUCCUCCAGCCCUCGGCUCUAGCUGUCCCUUGGCCUGGAAUGUCCCUCUGCCUCCUCCCUUCCUUUGCUUCAGUAAUAUCUCCUCAUCAUUUGAGAUUUCUCAUGGGUACCGCCUUCUCCCAAAGUCCUUCCUACAUCCCAGGCUGGGUUGGGACUUCCUAUACUUUACUUCCAAAACCCUCUAUGCCCUUCCCAAUUAUUUUACUAUAGCACUGUGUUAAAAUUAUCUGUGUAUUUUUUUGACUUGCCCACCAGGCUGUGGGAUGUGUGUUAUUGCAGCUGGAUGCUCUGCACCCAGCCCAGUAUCUGCACAUAGUAGGUGCUUAUUAACUGUUUGUUGAAUGAACAAGGCAGGAGCGAUUGAUGGAUGUCCCCAGCACCUCUUCUGCCCUACUUGCUCAGGCCCUGCUGUCAACUGGUACUCUUAAGCUGUUACUGUGCUCAGGCCUUUUAAGGCAAUCACUAAGUCUUUCCACAUGGGCAAAAUAAUGCUCUAAAAGGCGACAAGCCAAGUGAUUCAGGGCUUUUUGUUUUUUGGCCACAUUAUUUUCUGCUUCACACUUAGAACUCUUUUUGGCAUAGUGGAAGUUCUGAGGGAAAAGCAGGCACUGGGAAAAUUAUUGCCCAUAAAUGACCUGAUGUCAGCAACAGCUGAUUCCCACUGUGGGCUGCGGGGUGUAGGAGAAGCCACUGGGCAGAGCUAGCCGACAGCACAGGUAACACAUGCAGACGAUACUACAUGAUUGACAUCUAACCAGGUGUCAGCAGCAGGCACGCUGGAGUGCCUGUUUGGGGCAAAGUGUGAAUGCUGACUCUGUGCAGGCGUGUGACAUGGGAACCCCCACACAGCUGGGCUCAAGGAGUUUGUUUCCUGCGAGAGGACCUCCCCUCCACGCUUCUAACAGAUCAAAGAGAAUUUAAAGUUAAAUACGUGGUUCACAUCAGAUUUCUAUCGGACAUGCUGGUGGCUGUGCCUUUCAGUUGUUAUCAGUGACCAUGACCUAUGAUUGACUCCACAAAGAUAGAAGAGCAAUUUUCGGGGUCCCCGGAUGUCUCGGGGUGAAGCUGCUCAUCUAGGAUCAGCUGUCCCUGCGGGCCUCUGUCCUGCUCUGCUCCUCAGCCUCUCACCACCCCCGCCUGAGCUUCCAGAGAUGGAAAAUUGAGCCAGAGAAAUGGAUGUCACUACACGGUUCAGAGGGCUCACGCCUGACACGGUGAGGAUGUGAGCAGUUUCACUGACGUGUUCUUGUUUAAACUGUUACAAGGGACAGGGGAAGGAAGUGAAAAAUGUGUUUUAGCACAUAGAAAAUUCUGGGGAACUGUGAAAACCUCAUUUUAGAUAGUAUCAACCAGGAGCUUAUGCUUCAGCCUGCCCCUACAGUAUUUUAUCAAGAUAAAAUGAUGUGGGUGGACCAUCUUCCCUGUGGUCCACGGAGCACAUCCCCCAGUGAUUUCCUCACCCACGGCCAGCUGAGGCAGCGUGCACCCCAGACGCUCAGCAAUCGGGCACAGAUCUUUCAGCUUGUUUUGCUGUUUCCUCCCUUCUUCACUUACGAUUCUUUCCUUCAACCACUGGUAGCACUAGGAAUAAGAAGAAUAUUGACAUGUUAAUGCCUGCUAAGUGUUUGAUGUCAAAGAUUAUUAAUGCAAUAAAAUAUAAGAAUCUUACGGUGAA